AGGACGAACGCUGGCGGCGUGCCUAACACAUGCAAGUCGAACGCGCUCCAUUCGGUAGCAAUACUGAUGAAGAGUGAGUGGCGAACGGGUGAGUAGCACGUGAGCAACCUGCCCCGAAGACCGGGACAACACCGGGAAACCGGUGCUAAUACCGGAUAUCCCUAUCGGACCGCAUGAUCUGAUAAGGAAAUGGAUUCCGCUUCGGGAGGGGCUCGCGGCCUAUCAGCUAGUUGGUGAGGUAACGGCCCACCAAGGCAUCGACGGGUAGCUGGUCUGAGAGGACGAUCAGCCACACUGGGACUGAGACACGGCCCAGACUCCUACGGGAGGCAGCAGUGGGGAAUCUUGCGCAAUGGGCGAAAGCCUGACGCAGCAACGCCGCGUGGAGGACGAAGGCUUUCUGAGUUGUAAACUCCUUUCAGCAGGGACGAUAGUGACGGUACCUGCAGAAGAAGCACCGGCCAACUACGUGCCAGCAGCCG
rnacentral:rRNA from 1 species